rnacentral:tRNA from 1 species
GCAGUAGUGGCCGAGUGGUUAAGGUGAUGAACUAGAAAUCCACAUCCCCACACAGGCUCGAAUCCUGUCGACUGCG